rnacentral:lncRNA from 1 species
AAAUAAAAGAGUAGAAAAAAGAAGUCGCACGAAUUUUGAACAAGGAACAAUAUUUUAUUUAUCAGAUAAGUUAAAACUUUAUAAUACCUUUUUAUUGAUUAUUAUUAUUGAACUGUAAUACUUUGUGUCAUUUUUAUUGGUAUUUUUUUUAGGAUUGUAAUAGGAUAUUCUAAAAGGUAAUAAGUAAUCAAAUUCAAUGACAUAAAUGCUGUAUGCAUUUUAUAAAUCAAAACGACAAUUAUUCAACAGCUGAUAAAUGUGUUCAUGCGCAACUAAGUAAUACAAAAAAAUAUAAUUUGCAUGGUGUUGUAACUACUGCGAGUCAAGUGGAUAAGUUGACCUUGUUAGUUAAGUUGCUGGCAAUAGUGAAUAAAAUACUGUUGGAGAUUGUUGGAAAACUGAUCAGUGAUGCGUGUCUCAUGCACUAACUUUGGAUGAACUCUACAAAAAUUGUAUACGUUACUCAUGAUACUAGAAUUUUUGUCAAUGGAGAUAGACGUUAAUCUAUUUUAUAGUAUUGUUGGGAUCACUCAGAUGCGCCCUUCCCAGUGCUCGGAUAAUGACUGGAUCAAAUAAGAACAGGCUUUAUUUGGUUGACGAAUGAAGUAGAGAAGAUUUUUUAAGUGAAGGGAACAUUUGUAUAAUAAUUCUUUAUUAAUUUUCCUAUACUUAUGUCGAAGAAGUUAUAAUAAUAAGUGACAAUAGUUUUGGUUAUUUUUAUAAAUUGAGGAAAUGAUUUCAAAAGUGAAUAAUUUGAACAAACAUCUUGCUGUAACUAUAUACAAGUUAAUAUAACAAUUAAUUUAAAAUAAUGUAACAAUAUAUGAAUUAAAACUUUUUCUGAUUUUUUAUUUAAACAUUUAUUUGUGUACCAUUCUUUUCAUACGCACUGUAGCCUACUUAAGUGGACUAUAUUUUUUAGAUGAUGUUUUUUUUUUAUUUUCUCCUUACUCCAUCAUUUUUGUAGAUACAUAAUAUAUAUAUAUCUUUACAUAUAUUUUAUUAUAUACAUAUAUCUUUUCCAUCGGUAGACAUCAUUUUAGAAAAGGUGCAUCAGGUAUUAUUAUUUUAUUGAUUUUUUAUUUUAAAAAACUGAUCUUACACAAAUCAUAUAUGUAUCGUACGUAAAUUUUAACUGGAUUAUUUUUAGAUUUAAUAGUCUUUUUUGUCUGCCUGUGUUUCUUAAAAUGAGUAUAUAUGAAUUAAAAAUUAUAAUAUAAUUCUGCACACAUUACACAUUACUUAGCUAUCA